GAGAGCGCCAUGCAGAGCAAGGAACUGCUCCACGGCUGGCUGUGGAUUCUGCUCCUCCGCCGACGAGCUCACCUCCGCGUACGAGCUGCUCAGAACAACAAGAUGAUGACGUCAAAUUCCCACUGCAACAGUGCUGUUGAUAUAAGACAGAUAUUGCAGUGACAAUUUCACACUCGUUGAUUCGCAAAAACAUUGCGACAAGUGAUGCUGAGCAGCUGGCCAUCCGUGCUGCAUAGCGCGGACUCAAGGUUCAGACAUUCAGUAGAAGUGUUUAUAAGACUGUCGGCAGGGCAAAGGACCACGAGAGUAAUGUGAAGUCUGAAUUCUAAACAUGUGCAUGGGCAUGAUGGCAAGUCCAUGCCUGGUCAAAGGGAGACGAAACAAAGAUGAGAGUAGGUGAUAGCAUCAUUGAAUCAUGCAUGACAGCUAUAGCUAUGACACUUGGAAUGUAUACCAGCCGAAUAUUGUGGAAAAAUAUUUUAGGAGCCAUGUGAGAAUGGAAAUAGACGUCAAGAGAACCAACCACCAUCCAAACUGUCGGCUAUUAUAAGCCAUGUAAAGCAUGGAUAUACGCUUCUCAUAAUUGUGGUGAGAUGUUCAAAAUCUGGAUGGAUAAAUGAAAAUCUUUUCAAGAGCAAUUUUAACCAAAUGAUGAGUCAAUGGAUAUAAACAACACUCUGUCCCUGGUUAUAAGAAAUUGGCGGAAAUUCACACAAAAAUUUAUUCAUGUUUUUUUUUGUUCAUUGUCAACUAUUUAGAGCAAACAUAUCAAUACCUAGCACUUUUCUGCAAUCAAAAUUUAUUAUAAGAGGUACUAACAUCAGGUGCAUGGCAUGUUCCAAUAAAAGCCAGGAUCCUUGCAUCUAUAUUUUCACUGUACUAUUUUACUAACAUACAAAACAGCAUGCUGUAGUGGUAUCUCAAAGCAUGAAUCCAAUAAUACUUCUGCAAUUAUUACUGCCUUGUAUGUCUAAAUAUAGAAGAAGUGUCACUGGAAAUAAAAAUUACAAAGGUAUAAUCAACUGAGGAAAAAGGGAGCAGCUCAGUCAGGAAUAUUUCUGGGUCAUCAGAGUAGCAAGAACCAUUCGUCAUUGUUUACACGUAUAUUUUAUGAUCUCAGAAGCAAUUGUGCCAACAGUGCCUUGAAAUGCAGUUUCAGAAUUCAGACGUUUUAAACUACAUACAAAUUCUGUAAUGGCAUUACCUUAAACAGCGAAGAAGGCUCUCUGCCGCAGAAGCUUCUUGCAUGGCUUCAACAGCAGCCAUUUGUGCUGCAUCCCUGUACUUCAAAAGCUCCUGUUACAACAAUAUCUCAUUAAGCACGAGUAAAAUAUGAAGCAUUCAACUACCACAGGCUAAAACGAUAUAUCAUCCUCUCUGCUUUGGCUAACAUAAUGUAUUGCUAGAGCUUAAUUGCUUUUAAAAGGGAAAGGGUGCCUAGCCGGAUUGGUUAGGUGGCCUCGGUAACACUCCUCAGGUCCUGGGUUCGACUCCCGGUGGGAGCGAAUUUUGGGCUGAGGUUAAAAAAAUCUCCUCGCCUGCCUAUACGCCAAAGCACAUGGAAAUAGGUCCCGGCUCACCCCGGCCCACUCUCACACGGGUUACGGCGCCCCUGUGUAAGGGUGGGGCAGGGGUUCGGGGGUUUUCUCGGCCUGCGUCAGAGGUCCUUCUUCUUACAUUAAUGCCCGGGGGGCGGCUUGCCUCUCGCGGGUCGAGUUUUUUUUAAUUGCUUUUAAAAUGUAUACAACUGUUAACAGCAACAAAUGGACUAGGUGGCAAACAAAAAGGGAGUUCACUCCUACCUUUCCUAAUUUAGCAAGUGAUGGAGGAAGCGCUGUCCAUGAAGUGUUAGCAUCUGUCAGUUUUUUGCUAUUUGCAGCAACCUUCACUAGAUUUGUGAUAUUUGGGUUGCUUAAAACACCAGAUGUCCUCCUUAUAGGAGAAGAAUGCUUAUUCACAACUUUGUCAGAAUCAUCUGCAGGAGCACUUGCUGAGCUCUUCCUGGGUGGAGUCUGAAUCUUACUGUCAUCCUUAUGCAAUGGCUUCUCUUCUACUAUUGGUUUCCGUCUGGGAGUCUGGUCACAGAAGAAUUGACAAAGAUCAUUUACCAAAGAAGCUGUAUGGUGAUGGACAUUAAUAGAAUCAAUGAUGAGCUACACGUUCCUAAAUUGAAACAAAAAUAUGUUCAGCUUCUUCUCAAGGCCUUUGGUCCUGAUUCAAUGCUCAUUAUGGUGUUACUAAGUGAAUUACGUACGGAGGACUUUCUCCCUGCCGUGGUAGCCUUCAAAACGGAAGCAGCCUUUUCUAACAAGGAUAGCCUAGAUGGUGAUGGUUUCUCUGCUCCUUUCAUUUUUGUUCUUUGGUUCAUAUCAUUUGAGAAUUUAUCAAAUGAUGCAGGCAGAGAAUGGACGCUGGUCGGAGAUGACGGCAUGGACCUAGCGGUGGUAGAUUUUGGCUUCGAGAUAACUAUGUCUUUCUUAUCUGCUUGACAAAGCACCAGUGUCCUUUGAAUUGCUGCUGACGGAUGGUUGGGCCUUCUUGAUGCCAAGAAAACUAGAGGAGCUAGUCACCACAAGAUCCUCCGGAUUGCCGACACAAGCAUGCCGGCCUGGAACUGGCCUGACUCCC